AUUGAACGCUGGCGGCAGGCUUAACACAUGCAAGUCGAGCGAGCGGCGGACGGGUGAGUAAUGUCUGGGAAACUGCCUGAUGGAGGGGGAUAACUACUGGAAACGGUAGCUACUACCGCAUACCAUCAGAUGUGCCCAUAUGGGAUUAGCUAGUAGGUGGGGUAAUGGCUCGCCUAGGCGACGAUCCCUACCGGUUCUGAGAGGAUGACCAGCAACACCGGAACUGAGACACGGGCCAGACCCCUACGGGAGGCAGCAGUGGGGAAUAUUGCACAAUGGGCGAAAGCCUGAUGCAGCCAUGCCGAGGGUGUGAAGAAGGCCUUCGGGUUGUAAAGCACUUUCAGCGAGGAGGCGUUACUCGCAGAAGAAGCACCGGCUAACUCCGUGCCAGCAGCCGCGGUAAUUC
rnacentral:rRNA from 1 species